rnacentral:lncRNA from 1 species
UGACUCUGAUGUCACCCUGUAUCGCUUUCAUCGUGGCCCCCACAUGUGUGUGUUGAUUGACAUAAUCUGUUAUUCAGCUGUCUUUAAAAUGAGGAGGCCUGAGAACCUCAUCCCAGCACCUGCAGGCUGGCACCUGCUUUUGCCUCUCGACCAGAGCCUCCCGGGACUUACUCGUUCACCACACAGAUACGCAGGGCGUUCCUGAUUCUCGUGUGGGGAUGUAGUGAGCAGAGGAGACAAAGCAAAGACCUCUGCCCACGGUGACAAGGGAGAGGUUCUUUGCUUCAGAUCAGAAUGACACAUCAGGUUGGGUGGCCGCCUGUCAACAGCUCAAAUGCUGUGCAUUCUGCUUCAUCAAGUGGAAGGAUUACUCUUAUUACUUAAUCAGUGGCAUGUUCCUGAUGCUGAAAAACCAUCCUGACGCACAUGCCAUGCAUGAUGAGUGUUAGGUGUCCCCACUGCUGGAUGAACACGUCCACUGUUCGAGCACUGCCACAGACCUAUUACACGGGCAGGAAGAUCCUAGUACCUCCCCCUCUCCGGGGACCCGAGCAGCCAGCCAGCCACCUAACUCCUCAGAGGCUGGCCGGAAGCCCUGGGAGCGGAGC